GGGCCGUAGCGCCCGCUUCCCGGCAUGCCCCGCGCACCCCUGCCCGGGACACUCACCGGCGCCGGCGGCCCCCGCUCCGGCUCUGCGGCGGCGGCUGCACGCCCAGCCUCUGCGCCUGCGUCGCAAGUAGGAUGAACAAUCAUGGUGAAAGAGAAGCCCAGCCAGCAGCCAGCACCAACUGCCAGCUGUGUGAGUGAGGCCAUCCUGGAUCAUCCAGCCCCAGCUGCCCCACCAGAUGACAGCAGCCACACAAGUGACCCCAGUUGAGACCAAUAAAAGAUCUGCCCAUCUGAUACAGCCCAAACUGCUGAACCCCAGAAUAAUGAACAAAUAAGUAAAAGAAAAGAACACUGGUUGUAUUUUAUGGUUGCACUAUGUCCAGCAGAAAAAGGCAUUCCUCAGUCUCCUUGCAGCAAGGUAAAGCCAUCUGAUAAAAUUUUGUCCAGUUGGAUAUAAGCCAGAAUGUUGCGUGACAAUUUUGGGAGGACUUCCUGAAACAGGUGGACAAACCCUUUUUCUACUGAGUCACCUUUGUGCCACCUGGAACUAGCAGUGUGAUGCAUGGAAUUUAGGCAGCCAUAUUGAACCAUGAGGACAAGAGCAGUGGGGAUGGUGGAACCAAGAGCUGGAAGGUGCCUGAGUCUCUGGUGAAGAUGUGGAGCUGCUGUUAACAGCCCUGGACUCCUACUUCUGGACUUCUUUUAUGUUUGAGUGUAACACUUCGGGUAUUUUUAUUUUUUUAAUUUAUUUUAGAGAUGAGGUCUCACUAUGUUGCCUAGGCUAGACUCAAACUCUUAUGCUCAAGCAGUCCUCCUGCCUCAGCUUCAUGAGUAGCUGAAACUAUAGCACUUUGGGUAUUUGAGCCACUGUUUGAGGUUUAUCUAGCACCUCCUGGAAUAUCAAGCUUAACAUGUCCAAUCCUUGCCCCAGAUAUCUUCCUGCCCCAAUUUUCUCAAUCUCAAUAAAUGUCACCACCAUCCACCUGGUUGCUCAGGUCAAAAACCUAGAAAUCAUUCAAGUUCUCUCCCUUUCCCUCAUCCCCAAUAUCCAUUCCAUCAGCAAUAUCUGUCCAUUCUACCUCCAAGACAUAUCCCAGAUCUCAUCACCUUUGUCUGCCUCUCCUACCCUCACUCUCAUCCAGCAUCAUCCCUCACCCGGACUCUGCAAGAGCCUACUUGUGGGUCUGUCUGUGUCCCUGUCUGCCUCCUCCAGGGCCAUUCUCCACCCAGUGGCCGGACGGAUUUUUCAAAGAGGUAAAUCAGAUCAAUUCACCUCUCUGCUUAAAACCCUCUGAGGGCUGCCCGUAACACGUAGAAUAAAAUAGAGACCCCUUCCCGGGGACUUCAAGGUGCUAUAUGGCCUGGCCCCUCGCUGACCUUACUUCACUCUGGGCUCGCUAGCCUUGCUGUCCCUCAAACAUGCUGAGCUCGUUCCCACCACAGGGCCUUUUCCCUUUUCUUCCUUCUGCCUGGAAUGUUCUUCUCCCCACCUCCCAACCCCCAUCUUCCCAGGGCUGACUCCUGUUCCCAUUUGGGUCUCAAAUAAUAUCAGUACCUUC